AUGGACUCCAUUAAAUUCCUUAUCACACUGCUGCUGGUCUGUCUUCUAAUCUAUGAAUCCUAUGUGGAUGCAGCAUCGGAAGAACAAGAUUUCUCAAGAACUUGUUUAUCUCACCGCUGCAGCAAACAUGGACCUGAGAUCCGGUUCCCGUUCCGGCUUUCGAUCAACCCACCAUCAUGUGGUGCACCAGGUAUGCAGUUAUCAUGCUCUGGGCAUGACACAAUCCUGGAUCACCAUGUUCUUGGCCCUUGCAGAGUGACUGAGAUCUAUUACAGGCACCGUGUCAUCAACGUCGUCCCGUUAGUGGAACCAUCAAUGCAAUGCCCACUUCAGAAGCUCAUCUCAAGAAACUUAGCAAAUGAUGUCUACGAACAACCUCAAUCAUCAUUUCCUACAACCCUAGUACGUUGUUCAAAAGAUUUCAUACCAAUAGAUCAAGAUAGUUGGCCCAGCCUCUUGUCUGGGCAACAACGCUAG
rnacentral:rRNA from 1 species